rnacentral:misc_RNA from 1 species
UAUAGUAGUAUUUCAUCAGCUGUUUUCUAAUGUACCGUAUUUUUAAACGCAAUAAGUAAAUACUUAAAUAAGUAAGAAAUUAAAUAGGAAAUUUGAGAAAAUUAUUGUCGCGAGAAAUUAUUUGUAUUAUAUAUUUUUAAAUAUUAAAAAUGAACAAGGGCUGUUGGAAAUUUGACGAAGAAGACAAGGCAUUGUAUAUAGAUUGGGAAGAAGAUACAGAAGAUGAACAGUCAUCCAAAGAAUUUAGUUAUUGGGAUAGAUUACCCGAUAUACUAUUAGAAGAAAUAUUUUCAUAUUUAACGAUACGUGAACGAUACUAUGCGUCUCUUGUAUGUCGGUCUUGGUAUCACGCAUUUCAAUUGCAAAAUGUAUGGUCAACAUUUACGUUAGAAGAUACAACAUUAACGAGAGGAAAAUUUAAUUAUUAUAGCGGUUGGCAGUAUGUUCUGGAUCAUAUCAGAACAUCGACUUGUCUUAACAAAGUUGGAAAAAAUUUUCGUACUCUUAUAUUUGAACCUAUGUUAAAUUUUUAUAAUUUAUAUGAAUUUAUGAAUAUGAUAUCGUGGUAUACCGAAAGACAAGGAUCAGACAAUACCUCUGUAGCAGGUGUAGGCAUUAAUAUUCGAAGGCUCAAGUUUACAUUUCCUUGUAAUAUGGCAAAUAGAGAUGAUCCUGAUCGUAUUAGACUUUUUGGUACAGGAGGAAAACUACUCGAAGCAUUGAAGAGGCUUAUGAGAAAUUUAAAGAAUUUAAAAUGUUUAGAAUUAAUUGAUUUAAUGCUCGAUAGUAAAGAAGCUUUACAUUUAAUGGACGAUAUUUGUGAAAAUUGUACUCAUACUUUAUCAAAAUUAAUAUUAAUAAAUACUACCAGGUACUACUGUCCGUUGUUACAUGUAGGAGUAUUUCUCAAUUUGAAUAUUCUUGUUAUAAGUCCACAAAAUCUUCAUGAAGAUGUCAUCGAAUUACUUGGACAUACAAGAUUAAAACAUCUUCAUAUCUUGCAAAAUCGAUAUAGUCCAAAGGAUACAACUGUUAGAUUGCCAAAAAGAGCAGCGUGGAUAAAAAUGAGGUCGAAUAAUCCAUAUAUAAAAGUACAUUUUGAAAUAGAAAGUGGUAAACCUACCGAUGUACUUUUACCGAUAGAUCUAUUAGAACACAGUGCUGUACCGUGUCAUAGUAUAGUUAUAGACAAUCCAAAUACACAGACAUUACAGAUUUCACCAUCAUGGAUAAUCACGCAUGGUUCGUUUUUCGAUUCAACGAUUCGAAUUUAUGCAUUCAAGGGAAUAACAAGAUAUUAUUUGCAUAAAAAUUUUUCUAAAAGAUUGGACGAAGCAUUAGUGCAAUUCUGCAAAAUGUGUCCGAAUCUACAUACUCUGGUAGCAUUUUGUGUUUAAACAAACAUUUUCUUGUCAUUUGUAAUAGCUUUCUUCUUAAGCCCUACAUUGAUUGAUGCUAAUUAAUGCCUUAAUUGUGUGAAGAUAUGUAUGAGAAUCUUUGCAGUAUGAAAGACUUUCUUACUGAGUUAGAGUAUGAUUCAUGACAAAAUAUCAACUUCGACGAUAUUGGAAAUAGUUACAACGGCAAAAUUCCUUCGUUGCUUGUAUGUACGACGUAAUGCGGUUUUAAAAAGAUGCGAUGGAGAUUGGUUAAAAAUAUCAUGCUGGACACCGGAACAUUAUCAAUGGAUAAAAA